ACGACACAAUGGUUGUUUGCAUUUUAAAGUGUUAAGAUUUAUCAUAUUAAAUUUUUUGUUUAUGAGUUCACAGAUUGAAAGACAGGUUUCAUGGAGAACAAAUGUGAUCACUGGAAGGGCAUGUAACUUCACACAGUUAUCAUUCGAUUAGGAAAUGGAGAAUGUUUCAUCUAAAGUACUCUUCAGUGUGUUCACUGGUAUAAGUUUCACUGGUGAAGAAUUUAUGUAGGUGUUCAUGAAU
rnacentral:lncRNA from 1 species